AGCGGUUCUUCACAUGCAAGAACUACGAGGCUGAUGGAUUCCACUAUCGUCAGCCUUGGGUGAUAGGUGUGCAGGAGGAGAUCGAAAGGUUGACUAAGCGGGUGGAGGAGGCUGAAGAAGUGAUGUUGGGGUCGUCGAAUCUCUGUAAACUGAUCGACAGACUGGAGGAUCAGGUUAAAAUGCUCUCUGAGCAGGUAGAUGACCUCACCGUGCAGGUUGCUACGUUGGAGAAGGUCUGCUUCGAAUGAAACCGAAGGUCAGAGAGUGCAGGUCACGGGUUGGAGUGAAGGUGUUGGAGGUGAUCAGUCGUUGCAGGUGAAGCCUAGUUGUUUUUUUUUUAUGUUGCGGGUAGUUGGACUUUAGACCAUCUUUGGUCACG